AGUGAACGCUGGCGGUAGGCCUAACACAUGCAAGUCGAACGGCAGCACAGUAAGAUCUUGCUCUUACGGGUGGCGAGUGGCGUACGUGUGAGUAAUACAUCGUAAUCUACUUUUUCGUGUGGGAUAACGUAGGGAAACUUACUCUAAUACCGCAUACGACCUACGGUUGUAAGCAGUGGAUCUUCUCACCUUGCGCGUUUGAAUGAGCCGAGGUCGGAUUAGCUAGUUGGCGUGGUAAAGGCCCACCAAGGCGACGAUGCGUAGCUGGUCUGAGAGGAUGAUCAGCAACACUGGAAGGGAGACACGGAACAGAGGACUAAGGGAGGCAGCAGUGGGGAAUAGGGGACAAUGGGGGAAAGAAUGAUGCAGCAAUACCGAGUGGGUGAAGAAGGACUUCGGGUUGUAAAGCCAUGUUGUGGGGAAAGAAAAGAAGAAGGAUAAAACGAAGAUGUUGUGACGGUACCAAAAGAAUAAGCACCGGCUAACUACGUG
rnacentral:rRNA from 1 species